UGAAAGCAAAAGCAUCAUAGCUGAAAAAGAGUUCAAUAGACUGUUUGAAAAUAAGGAUAUUUUUGCUUCAAUAGACUUUGUGAAAAUAAAGAUAUUUUUGCUUCAGCAGGAAUAGAAUGAUUUUAAGCAAAAAAGAAAAAAUUAAAAAAGAAAACAAAAUAGUAUUAUGAGAAGAGGUUAUCCAUCCUCUGUUGGAAAAUUUACAUAAAAUAUGAGUGGGUCUAUAAAUUCUGCAUGAAAAGAACAGGAAGAACAAAAAGAUUAUAUAGAAAUGAGAAAAAAGUCAAAGGAGAAGAAAAAGGGAAAUAGAGGAAUUCCAAGGGAAAUAAAAAAAAGAAAGCAUAAGUGGUGGAGGAAGAAGUAGAAAGAGAAAGACAAGAAAAGGAGAAAGGGGAUUGGAGAUAUAUUUGGAUUUUUUAACAUCCUAGACAUGAUUCAUAUUUUUGUAGUACAAUACCAGAAAGAUGUUCAAGUCAGAAUAUACUCUACAUGAGAUCCAACCCAAGCCAUCUCAAUCUGCACAUAAGGAAGUCCUAGAUCUUUACGAGAAGACUAACUCUCAAUGAUCUGAUCUACAGAAUAGGAAAAUCUAUAGUGCUGUUACUAUAGAAGGUGUCAUCACUAUGACUUUGCACAGAAUACUGUAGUCACCAAAGAUUAUACGUGCCUUUUCUCCUUAGCUUUUGGCUAAGUUGGUUACUUUAUGACCUCAGCUCUUCAAUAAGUCAACAGAAGACAUUAAUCUAAUGCAGCUGUAAUUGUGUGAGAAAUAGUCUUCCAUUUUUCUAUUUCCCAGAAAAGUGUCCAUCAGAUCAAAUAUUGGGAUCAAUCAGUCACGGGAUUGAUGCUAAGAUUUCUGGAACCCAACAUGAGAAGUCAGUCAGUUAUGCAUUCCAUUUGGAUCAUGCACUUCAAUCAACAGCUUAGUGGUUGAAGGACUCUUCUAGAUGGUGGGCUAUUUCUUCCAAGGAGAUAUAUGAAGAGCAAUGAUUCAGUUCAGUGAAUAUUUCUUUGUGGCUUCCUCAACACAGAUGCAUGGCCCACCUAAAGGGCUGUUUGGGAUAAGCCUGAGGCCCUCUUACUCACACCCUGUUCAGUCACUGCAGUGGUGGGUAGGGUGGUCUUCCAGCCAAGCCCUUGCUUGCUCUCCACUGCCUCUAUGCUUCUCUUUUUCUCCUUUAUCUCACUGCUUAACUUAUUUGAGCAAUUAGAGGGAGACAAAGGUUAAUGCACUAUAAUAAUACUGAAAUGUGGAAUUUAGAGUGGAGUUUUCAGGCAGAGAAACUUACAGUUUCAUUAGAAUUAACCUUUUAUUGCAUGUGGUAGAAUUUUCUCUGUGAUUCAUGUUACCCAGAGGGUUUUACAUUCCUGGAGCUUUGGUUAGAUAUUUCUGAUAUACUGACAAGAACCUUCAGACACCAAAGUUUUUACUAAACUAAGCUAAAUAGAAAUCUAUUCUUUGUUUCCCUAAGGGUGCAAAAACAAGUUGAAUUAAAUGCCUUGCAACAUCACCAUUUCAUCUAAGAUAAACUAGAUAGAAAUCACUUUAUUUCAACUGUAUUCCCUAUGGGUAUCAAUGCACCAGUGGAAUGAGUAAGAUUUUACAAGUCCAAAUUGAAUAUCUUUAUGUGAAUGUUUGAAAAUACCCAAACAUUAUUUUCAAGAAAAUAACACUUUUUCCAUUCAUUUACUCAACGAAUAUUUAAUGAGUAUAUAUUACAUGUUCAGGACUCUGGAAAAUUCAAAAUAAUUGCCUGAACAUUUGUGGUGGAAGAAGUUGCAGAGUAAUAAUUCAACUGUCCUCUUUUAAAACUUUUCCUAGAUCCUUUUAGUAAUGAAGAGUGUGAAAUUUGUUGAUCAUUUUUAAAUUGCUGACAAAACACUUUAAAGAUAAGGAUAAAUCUAGGACAGUAAAACAAUCUAAAUCAAUUACCAGAUUCACUGGCUUGUGUAAAUUAGUAGUGAGAAAUCUCCAGCCAGAGGAGAAACUUCAUUUUAAUUUAUUGGGUCCUUGCAAGAUAGGACUGUGAUGCCUGCUUUCAAAAGAUGGGAGGGGAAAUCUCUUCUAUGUCACAUGACCUACCUUAGCUUACUUAUAUAUAUGGGUUCUGUACCCACAGAUUCAACCAACCCCAGAUUAAAAGCACAGUGCUUCAAAAAUAAAAUUGCAUUUGUAUUUAAAAUGUAGUU